UAUUUCACUUCUCAGAUUUUAUGGAAGUUUUCCUUUAGUUUUCCUUAAAAUCUAGUUUACUAGUACAUUGGACAUAAAUUCUAAAAUAGCAAUAAUUAUUCUUUCAUUUAGUCUAGCUGUUUAAUAGGAGGAGGAAGCUGUAUAAUUCUAAGAGAGCAGUUUCGUAUUGCAGCCAAACAAUCAAAUGAUACCCGCUGAAAAGCAUAUUUUCUUUUUUCUCUUAUCAUCCCAUUCUUACCAUUCUGCUCUUUACCUUGCAUCAGUACUUGUCUGGUUCUCCUGCAAACUUGCUCAGGAAAAUGGUCCAGCAGACAAUGGCUUGCUUCUAAUGGAUGAAAAAUGGGAAGGAAGGAGAUUGUUUGCUCCUUGAGAAGGUUUGUUAUUAGGCUGGUUUUGGUUCCACUACCUGAAGAAACAAGAGAGGAGAGAAGAAAGGAAGUUCUCAUUUUUGGCAACAAUUAACUGUUGUGCUUUUCUGUAAGCGGGAAAUCUGUUGCAAGUUAUUCUGUAAAUGAAUUAUGAUGAUAAACAUUGGUGUAAUCUGGUGCUUUCAGAGUCAAGAGCAAAUUGUGAGGAGGAGGAGGUAUAAGAAAUAAAUUAGGAAUUCAAAGUAAACAAGCUUGUUAGUAGGCUGGAGUGUGACUAGUUCUGGAUGAGGUUAAUGGGUGCUCUUUCCUGAGUUACUUUCGGGGAGCAUGCGAUAGAGAGAUUUAGUUAAUGCCGCUGAUGGGAUGCCAUGUUUUAUGCAGAUUUGCUCUGGUAACUGCAAACUGUUACUUCUGUGUUUUCAUCUUGGGAGGAGAGCCAGAGCAUUUGUUAAACACAGCAGGGGAGUGGUUUCUUUUGAAACUCACUGCCUUUGUUUUUUCAUGGUGGGAGGUAUUCUCAGUCAGAAUUUUCCUUUGGCAGGUUGCUAAAUGUUUAGGUACCAAUGUAUUAAUUGCGCAUUUUUCUGAGUCAAGAAGAGGCCAUUAAAUCUAGUAUGUGUAACACCACACUACAUGUGAGUGUAUGUUAUCCAUAGAGCUACCUGGCAAUUACCAUAUUGCAUUUAUAAUUUUUUUGAGUUAUAGCAUAUAUAUAAUAUGUAUAUUAUAUGUAUACAUAUACAGUUUUAAAAGAACUGUUUGUUUGUUGUUGGUUUCUGUUUUAUGUUGCUGGUUUGUUUUUUUCCAGCUGUAAGUGGCGGAAAAUCGACGUCCCUGGAUUCCAUUACUUAAUUAACCUCCCUAGGUUUUACAGCUUAAUUACACUCAAAAUUUACUGUCUUGUCCCACUAAUUCUCCACUUUAAGGGAAUGUGGGACACAUGCCAUGUACUUCUGUAAAAUGUUAUGUGCCAAGGCUGCAUUUCCCUUACAGGACAACAAUCCUUGCAAGUGCACGUAGUUGCUUUAGGAGGCUGAAGCCAAAUAGGCAAAACCCAGGUGGAGAUACAUUCACAUAGUGAUGUCUCUUUUUUUGUUCACCUCUAUUGGAGUAGAUUAAAUGUCCUUUUUGCCACCUAGUUUUAAAAAAGAAAGAAAGAAAAGAAGGAAGAAUGUUUGAAACAUUUGGUCUCAGUUGAAGCUGAAGUAGCUUGUGCUAAAGGCAUAAAAAAAAAAAACAGAACAAAACAAGGAAGACUGUGUUAUGGGCACAAUAGGGAGAUUUUUUUUGUUAUAGGGUGAUGUAUUCUGUCUAUGAAAUGCAACAUUCAGAAUGCUUCUUGAACUAGUACAGGGGAAAUACUAGCUUUUAUUCUGCCUUUUCUCCUAUUCUGAACUUUCCAGCUCUACAUUAUAUACCAUUCUGGAGUCUUCCUAUGUAAAUAUCUGUUACUAUGCUGAGAUUAGCAUAAUAAACUGAUUUUUUCAUGAAGGAAAUGCUAUAAUUUUUAAUUGUCUCAGUCUAAUGCCAUUUCUCUUUUUGCCCAGAGCAGAAUUUUAUGGAUGAACACAAUUUUUAAACACAAAGAAAGACCACAUAACCCAGUUUCCAUCAAAAAAGGCAAUAAAGAAUCUGUGGCGUCAUUUGUGUUCUGUUAUAUGUAAAAAUUUCAUCAAAAGGGACUGCAAGAAAACAAAAAAAGAAAAAUAUGAAGAAAGAAAAUGCAAAAACGGAACCUGAGCUCUGAGAUUGAUAGUAGGCAGUGGAAGUAGCUAAACUAUAGCCUAUUAAAGGCUGCUUGGAUUCUGAUUCUCGGGAUUGCAGAAGGAAAAAAUGACUGUAGCUUUUGAAUACUGCUAGAAAAAUUCAUAGCUAAAUAAACUCUAAAUGAGAAACAAUGCCAACAUUAAAAUCCUACUGGAGAAAGCAUUCAUCGUAGUAAAAUAUGCUUGUGCUAACGCUUUGUCUGAUGUCAAAUGACCAGAAGCUGCUAUCAAUGGAGACUGUUAUGUUUUUCUGUAGAGUUACCACUAUCCCAUGUUUGAAGUUUAACUGCAAGGAGGUUGCACAGUGCAAUUAUUGCAUUCCAAAGUAAUUAAGAAUGGUCACCUUGCUGGCUUACAUGCACAUGGGUGUGUAUAUUCACAACCAACUUGGAGGGUAGCUGAAAAACUCUCUGAAGUCCUGUAUGUAACAGGAAUGAUGGAAAAGUCAAACACUUUAAGAAACAUAGUGAAAAUUGGCCACGUUAAGGUAGUGAAACAGGCACUGAAAGUCAUGUAUAUAUCCGUGUGUGUGUACAUAUAUGUUUUUCCACAAUAAAUCAGCUAAUUUUUAAAUCAAAAAGUAAAAGACUUGAGCCCCUUGUGAUACUUGUUUAAUUCAUUUCAGGGACAUUCUCCUGAAACAACAGCUGGGGCUGUUUUGAAAAGUGUUUUUGGAGCUCCAAUAAUAUGAAUGUUUCUCAGACAGGACAGAAUACAGAAGUCUUUCUGAGACAAUUCCAAAACAUGCAUAAAAUAUUGUCAGUUUACCAUGUGUAUAACCAAGAUGUUAUAAUCACAAUAUAAUUGUGUAUAAUCAAUAGAUAUCAAGAUGUUAUAAUCGCAAUAUAAUCAAGAGAGUAAGGCAAAGCAGACAACGAUCACAAAAAGAGAAUAAGUGGAAGAGCUUACCCUUCAGCUGAGCUCACCAGAAGACACCAAAAGAGGGGAUCUCCAGAAGAGAUCCUUCCCCUCUGGUAGCCAGCUCUUAAAUAGGUCUAGGAGGGAUGCAGCCUGGCUCCACCCCUUCCAGCAGCACAGUGAAUUGCCUUCACCUGUGCUCCUCUGGCUGACUCAUGGCUCACCUCAGGUGAUCAAUCAGAGGUUCACUCAGCAGUUCCCAUACACCAUGCUACAGUUUAGUACUUGCUUGAUUUUUUUAUUUAUAUACAUUUCUAAGGAAAGCAGUGAGAAAAGGCUGUAGAACAUGUGUCCAUGGAUCAUAGACUCAAAAAUCAUUAAGGUUACAAAAGACCCCUAAGAUCAUCUAGUCCAACCAUUGACACAUCACCACCAUGCCUGCUAAGCUGUGUCUGUCACUGCCACAUCUACUCUUUUCUUGAAAACCUCAGGAGCAGUGACUUCAUCACUUUGCUGGUCAGCCUGCUUCAGUGCUUCACCACUCUUUCUUAGAAUAAAUUUUCCUAAUCUGCAUCUCCCCUGGUGCAAAGUUGAGGCCAUUACUUCUCAUCCCUAUCCAUGGUUACCUGGGAGGAGAGGCUGACCCCAAUAUUGCUAUGACCUCCUUUCAGAUAGCUGGAGAAACUGAUAUGGUGUCUCCUGUACCUUCUCUUCUUCAGACUGAAUAAUCCCAGUUCCCUUGGCCACUCCUCAUAAGAUUAGUGCUCCAGACCCUGCACCAGCUUUGUUGCCCCUCUUUGGAUGUGCUCCAGUGCUUUGGUGUCUUUCUUGUAGUGAGAGGCCUCACAACUACUUAGUACUUGAGCUGUAGCCUCACCAGUGCUAGUUAGAGGGGGAUAAACUCCUCCCUAGUGGUGCUAACUAUGCUAUUUCUGAUACAAACUAGGAUGUUUUUACCUUCUUGGCUACCUGUACACAGAUCCUUUUCCUCCAUACAGCUUGCCAGAUGCUCUGUCGCAAACGUGUAAUGUUGCAUGGGGUUGUUGUGACCAAAGUGUAGGGCCCAGCACUUGGUCUUGCUGAAACUCGUACAGUUGGCCUCAGCCCAUACAUCCAACCUAUCCAGAUCCCUUUAUAGAGCCUUCUUACCCUCAGGCAGAUCACUGCUUCUUCCCAGCUUAGUGUUGUCUGCAUACUUACUGAAGGUGUACUCAAUCCCUUUGUACAGAUCUUCAGUAAUGAUAUUAAACAGAACCAGCCCCAAUACUGACCCUUGAGCAGCACUACUUGUGAUCAGUUGCCAGAUGGAUUUAACUCCAUUUGUACCCACCCUCUGGGUCUGGCCAUCCAGCCUUCUUUUUUUUUACCACGUGAAGAGUUUACGUGUCCAAGCCAUGGGCUGCUAGCUUCUCCAGAAAACUGUCAAACAAAACUGUACUGUUUUACUUGACAGAGUCAAAGGCUUUAUGAAAGUCCAGGUAGGCUACGUAUGCAGCCUUUCACUGCAUGCACUCAUCUUCAUCACUGAUUGGGCGAUCAAGACUGUGGGGGAGAGCAUAUCAAAUAUCUAAACAACAUUUGUGUUCUAAAAAUGCCAAUUCAAGACAGAUUCAGGGAUUCAGAGUUGGUUUUCUUUUUCAGAGUACAGCACAGGCUAAAAGGCUUGGUCUGGAAAUAGGCAGUGCUGCAAACUUCUGAUACUUGCAUCCCUGCAUAAUAAGGCUAUUUUAUUUAGAAGGGUAAUGUAGAUUGUAGCAGGUGAGAAGUGAGAAGCCGUAGGGAAGGCAUUGUUAGUGUUUCUUAAGCUCUACGGAAUACGUUGUCCAAACAACGUGUAAAGGAGUAAUUUCACUGUCACUGUUCUGAAGAGUACUUAGUGGUUUGGGAAAACAGGUAUGCACAAAAUGGAUGUUAAAAAUGUUUAAUCUGAGCAAGCUGAGUAUCUUUUUAAAUAUAGCGUUAGUAAGUAACAGAAGUUAGAAGAUGUGUCAAUUUGUUAAGAAACUGCAGUACAAUCUAUUACCAUAUUUCUCUUGAGAAGAUAGCUUGAUCUUAAUGCACACAAAAAUGUAGCAUUUAAAUUAUAUGACAAGCUUUGAUUGUAAUUUAAAUCUGUCAGGAUUUGUUUGCACUUGAUUGGCAAGUUGAAUUAAUCAGAUUGAUUGUUGUCUUUUUUUUUUUUUUU